GGUCUGGUGGUGUAGUUGGUUAUCACGUCAGUCUAACAUGUCGAGACGAUCUCACGAUGGUCUCGCUGUUCACUGAAGGUCUCCGGUUCAAGUCCGGGCUAGAUCA
rnacentral:tRNA from 1 species